rnacentral:rRNA from 1 species
AACGAACGCUGGCGGCGUGGAUUAGGCAUGCAAGUCGUGCGCGAAAGUUCCCUUCGGGGGGAUUAGUAGAGCGGCGAACUGGUGAGUACAAGGUGACUAACCUGCCCUCAAGUUGGGGGAUAACCCCGGGAAACCGGGGCUAAUACCGAAUGGUCUCUUGGGUUUUCGGACCUACGAGUAAAGCAGUAAUGCGCUUGAGGAUGGGGGUCACCCCCCAUUAGCUUGUUGGUGAGGUAACGGCUCACCAAGGCUACGAUGGGAGGCUGGACUGAGAGGUUGGCCAGCCACACUGGGACGUGAGAUACGGCCC